GUUUCUGUAGCUCAAAUGGUAGAGCGCUCCUCUAUCUACGGUUUGAACUCUGUUCACUACUCGUCAACUUCGGAGAGGAUGCCUGUUCAAAUCAGGUCAGAAACA